GAAAUGCGAUACGCAAUGCGAAUUGCAGAAUCCGCGAGUCAUCAGAUCUUUGAACGCAAGUGGUGGAGGUGUAAAAACCUUCAUGUUCGUUUCAGUGUGGAAAGGAAUCACGCAUCUUAAUGCGAUCGAAGCGACGGCUUGUCCGAUGCUUCCCUCGUUAAACGUGAUGGGUGGUCGAGCAAUCGCCGCCAGAACGAAGUAGUCACAUUCGUGUAAUGUGAACAUUCGUUCGGGCAAUACGGCUGAAUGCUCACUUAUGCCAUUCCAUAGAAAAUCAAACUUUUCUCACUACACCUGAAAUGAGCAAGAUUACCCGCUGAACUUAA
rnacentral:misc_RNA from 1 species